UACGUAGGGGGCUAGCGUUGUCCGGAUUUAUUGGGCGUAAAGAGCGUGUAGGCGGCCAGGUAGGUCUGGUGUGAAAACUCGAGGCUUAACCUCGAGAUGUCAUCGGAAACCAUCUGGCUAGAGUCCGGAAGAGGAGAGUGGAAUUCCUGGUGUAGCGGUGAAAUGCGCAGAUAUCAGGAAGAACACCAAUGGCGAAAGGCAGCUCCUCUGGGACGGUACUGACGCUGAGACGCGAAAGCGUGGGGAGCGAACAGG
rnacentral:rRNA from 1 species